AAGAAAUUAGUUAAAUAAAUAACACUAGAUUGUCAAACUAAUAUUAUCUUUAAAUAGGAUAUUUCUUU
rnacentral:tRNA from 1 species